GAAGCUACCCGACUGAAAGGAAUGUUUAUUGACACUUUUUCUUAGAAAAAGAAAAGACAAAUAAGGCUUUAUUUAGCCUUGAUGAAGGAAGGACUCUCUCAUGUUGUUAUUUCCCCUUUUUUUUGUCCCCUACAGGUCGUCAGAGUGGCAUAAAAUUUCUAAAAAGUCCAUUUAAAUAGAUUUGAUUGUUUCUAUUUCUAUUCUUUUCUGUCUUUUCUGUUUGCAUCUUUGACAAUUAUUCUCAAAAGUUAACCCCUGUUUAAUCAAUGUUUUUCGACUUACACCAGUGAGACCAUGAUGAAUAAUUUUCUUCUAAUUUCCACCUUUAAGUUAAUCUACAUCCUUUACUAUUUACUAUUUUUCAAAACAAAUUUGCUGUGUGGCAAAUGUAGCUGCAUAGAGUAAUCACUACUUGCGAUCUUUGUUUUUAAUGAUCCCAAUGCAAAAAAAAUGUUAACCCUGUUUAGCUAUUUCAACAUUCAUCAACCUUAUUGCAUAUCAAUUAGCGAUAUAUUGGUUAUUGCCAUGACAUUAUUCUGAUUCUACUUGCUUCGCUUCCAGUUGAAUUGUACAAUAUAAAUGUAAAUGUUUGUCAUGGUCUCAUUUAUUGGUGUUUUAAUUGGGUUUUGUAAAGUUUUGAGAGCCACUAGUUCCUGUUCAGAAGAAGCACUUUAAAAAAAAAAAAAAAAUUUCUGCUGUUCAUUCAAUCCCCUAGUUUUCGUGUACCGAUAUUCCUGUGCAAUCUUUUUUUAUAUAUUGUUGUUGUCUGUGACAAUAAAUGUAAUUUUAUAAGUUAAUUAUAAACAUAUUACUACCAGUG